GUUCCAAGAGUCUUCAAAAGAAGGAUAAACACGAUUGCAUUUUAUGAACUAAUGGAUGUGAUCAUACCAGCACUAAUGCACCGGAUCCCAUCAGAACUCCGCAGUUAAGCGUGCUUGGGCGAGAGUAGUACUAGGAUGGGUGAUCUCCCGGGAAGUCCUCGUGUUGCAUCCCUCUUUUAUGUUUAACCUUUUUUU
rnacentral:rRNA from 1 species